AUGAAACUAUUGUCACCAGACCACAAAAAGUACAUCAUAUCAGAAACCAGUCUUGGAGGUCUAACCCAGAUGCAUGAAGUGACUCUACGGCGCAUAAUGUUGGUUAGACUAGCCAAGAGCAUAGAUAUGGACACGCAAUCCAUUACCAUUGGUAAAAUGCCAAUUCCUAUAACAAAAGAAGACGUGCAGUGUAUAUUUGGCAUUCCGAUAGAAGGGGAGGAUAUAGAGCCACAUCUGGAAAUGCAAACCGACACAGAAUUGUUUACCGCCUAUGCAAACAAUGGGCAAAUUUUGAUUUCUGACCUUGAAACGGCGAUCCGAGCUUCCAAAGCCCCAGAUGGCGAUUUCCUGAGACGGUUCAUUCUGUACGCAAUUGGUACUGUUCUAGCACCAACAGCACAACAUUAUGUGGACUCGAAAUUUCUCAACCUUGUUACAGAUCUUGAAAACCUUCGGAAAUUUAACUGGGGAUGUUUCACACUUAAUCACUUCUUCAAGUCCGUUCACAAGUUUAGAAAUCGAGAUCACGUAAAUCUACAAAGAAAUCUAAUCCUGCUCCAGUAUUGGUACUGGGAGCACGUGCGUAGUGGCCGAUAUAUGUAUGCUUCUAGACCCCCUCCAUUGAUCGCACGAUGGGACGAAAUGAUGGCUAGUUUAAGAAGUGAUGCUUACGAGAAAGGAGGUCUUCAUAACGGGCUGGCUGUCCUGGAAAUUUGUGCUCCUCAACGACCGUCCGAGAAUUCAAAUAAUUUUCCAAGAAAAAUUGAUGAACAUGUGCAUCAACAUGAUUCGUAUCGAGCACCAUCACAAGGACAGCAAUUUAGUAGCCAGCAAAUUGACAUGGUAAUUGAAGCCAUGAAUGCACGCAUUGCUGAUCAUGAAAAGAAGAUGCUAGGUGAAGAGUUGAUCGACAUGAAGACUAAAACUGGCACUAAUCCUAGGUUGUCGAAGGCCGAGGACGAAAUUAAAGACUUAAGGAGGGAACUCCAUGAAAUAAAAUACGAAUUUACAAGCAACCGACAAACAGUGUCACAGAAAGGAGGUGUGCAGGAUCAAGUCAAUGUGUGCAAUUCAUCCCUGACAAGAACUCCUAGGGCUAGCCAAUUCACGGCAGGGACUUUGAGUACACCAAGUGCAAGACAUGUUAUUAUGGCAUAUGCUCGCAUUAGCCAAAUUGAGAAUGAUACUACCUCAAUCAUAUCCCCUCAAGAAACCGAAAAGCUGUUACAAAUGAAGGGGGUGGUUCCUGUUGGACGUGCAGCCUCAUGGUUAGCCCGUGUAGCAGAAAAAUUUACUCUGAACUCCAUGAGUUAUCAUUGCGACAAGACCAAGGAAGAUUCUCUUGUGGACUCGAUUCAGUGCUGCAUCGACGAAGCUGUCAAGAAUGGGUUGAUAUCACCAGCUAAGAACAUCAAUUUUUCCGAAUGGACCAAAAAACGCUGUGAGAACAUACCACAGCAGACCGAUGGCUUGAAAGCUAUGCUGACGAUACCGGUGCACCGAACUCCCCCAAAAGUGGUGCACCCAACUCCCCCAAAAGGAAGAGAGCACGUGGACGCCCGAGAAAGCUAG
rnacentral:rRNA from 1 species